rnacentral:rRNA from 1 species
CAUAGGUUAAUGAGGCGAACCGGGGGAACUGAAACAUCUAAGUACCCCGAGGAAAAGAAAUCAACCGAGAUUCCCCCAGUAGCGGCGAGCGAACGGGGAGCAGCCCAGAGCCUGAAUCAGUGUGUGUGUUAGUGGAAGCGUCUGGAAAGGCGCGCGAUACAGGGUGACAGCCCCGUACACAAAAAUGCACAUGCUGUGAGCUCGAUGAGUAGGGCGGGACACGUGGUAUCCUGUCUGAAUAUGGGGGGACCAUCCUCCAAGGCUAAAUACUCCUGACUGACCGAUAGUGAACCAGUACCGUGAGGGAAAGGCGAAAAGAACCCCGGCGAGGGGAGUGAAAAAGAACCUGAAACCGUGUACGUACAAGCAGUGGGAGCCUCUUUUAUGGGGUGACUGCGUACCUUUUGUAUAAUGGGUCAGCGACUUAUAUUCUGUAGCAAGGUUAACCGAAUAGGGGAGCCGAAGGGAAACCGAGUCUUAACUGGGCGUUAAGUUGCAGGGUAUAGACCCGAAACCCGGUGAUCUAGCCAUGGGCAGGUUGAAGGUUGGGUAACACUAACUGGAGGACCGAACCGACUAAUGUUGAAAAAUUAGCGGAUGACUUGUGGCUGGGGGUGAAAGGCCAAUCAAACCGGGAGAUAGCUGGUUCUCCCCGAAAGCUAUUUAGGUAGCGCCUCGUGAAUUCAUCUCCGGGGGUAGAGCACUGUUUCGGCAAGGGGGUCAUCCCGACUUACCAACCCGAUGCAAACUGCGAAUACCGGAGAAUGUUAUCACGGGAGACACACGGCGGGUGCUAACGUCCGUCGUGAAGAGGGAAACAACCCAGACCGCCAGCUAAGGUCCCAAAGUCAUGGUUAAGUGGGAAACGAUGUGGGAAGGCCCAGACAGCCAGGAUGUUGGCUUAGAAGCAGCCAUCAUUUAAAGAAAGCGUAAUAGCUCACUGGUCGAGUCGGCCUGCGCGGAAGAUGUAACGGGGCUAAACCAUGCACCGAAGCUGCGGCAGCGACGCUUAUGCGUUGUUGGGUAGGGGAGCGUUCUGUAAGCCUGUGAAGGUGUACUGUGAGGUAUGCUGGAGGUAUCAGAAGUGCGAAUGCUGACAUAAGUAACGAUAAAGCGGGUGAAAAGCCCGCUCGCCGGAAGACCAAGGGUUCCUGUCCAACGUUAAUCGGGGCAGGGUGAGUCGACCCCUAAGGCGAGGCCGAAAGGCGUAGUCGAUGGGAAACAGGUUAAUAUUCCUGUACUUGGUGUUACUGCGAAGGGGGGACGGAGAAGGCUAUGUUGGCCGGGCGACGGUUGUCCCGGUUUAAGCGUGUAGGCUGGUUUUCCAGGCAAAUCCGGAAAAUCAAGGCUGAGGCGUGAUGACGAGGCACUACGGUGCUGAAGCAACAAAUGCCCUGCUUCCAGGAAAAGCCUCUAAGCAUCAGGUAACAUCAAAUCGUACCCCAAACCGACACAGGUGGUCAGGUAGAGAAUACCAAGGCGCUUGAGAGAACUCGGGUGAAGGAACUAGGCAAAAUGGUGCCGUAAC